UCACUUCUUCAAAAUCCAGAGAAAUAUUGUUCUUGGUUGAGUUCAAUCUGAGUUUCGUCUUGUUGUUCAUAUGGGUGAUACUUACCCUUCCUCGUAUCCUCAGCAAAUAUGCUUCUGAUAAAUCAGUUGUCAGAGUAAGUAUCCUUUUCACCUUUGUCUUCUUCAUCUUUAUCUGCAUCUCAUUUUUUUUGCUUAUUCUUCCUAACUGUGAUCUCCGGUAUUGGAAUUUGGAGCUGUUUUUUAGUGCUGAAUGAGGCUUUGAGCCCAUUGGCUGUAAAUACAUAACCAAGUAAGCUCCUUCUGCUAAUUCUAGAUCUAUCCACACUUGCUUGAGUUAACAAAUUCUCCUUGGUGUAGCUAUGGCUGUGAUGGAGAUACCAAGAUGCUCGAACCCGAAAAUAGUUGCAAUGUCUUUUCAUCCUCAGGUGUAUCAUUCACAAAUCUUGUAUAAACUCUCCCCUACACUGGGAGUCCUUCUUGCUAGCUGUAGAUCUAUAGGCUAGGGUCUAAAUGGGAGGAACAACUCCUUCAGCCUGCUGCAACUUCUCUGAUUGCACCAAUUAAUCUACCUGCUGGCAGGCAACAAUUGUGUCCUGCUGUGCAGAAGAUAGAAGAAAUGGCUCUUUGAACUAGUCAUUUCUAUUCACGUUCCCCUGUUGCCACCAAAGUGUUGAGUCAAAGAACUUCUGAUUUCUCUUUUUAAAAUUUUUAAUUACUUGAUCAUAGAUUUCUAUUUACGUGGGAAAAUUACAGCUGAGACAUGCUAUAGUUUAGAUAUAUCCUAAAACACUUCCUGUUUUAUUUUCCAUUUUCAUUUUUUUCCCUUUGUGGUGCACUAGUCCCUAGGUUGGGGUUUCGUGGAUAGUAACUAGUAUCCAUUUCCAUCACAUACACGUGGAUUAUAUCAAUCGAUUGAUAUAGCUCUUAGGUUUCUAGCUUGAAUUAUUUUAAGUUGUCAAAGGAAUUUUCAAGAUGGUCUUAGCGAGUAUAAAUAUUGUGCAUUCAAACUUGUUUAAUUGAAAAGAAAUUGUUCGACUCAUGUACUUUCACCUCCCAUCUGGGUAUAGAUAAAUGUGUUGGGAACAAUUAGACGCCUUCCUAUUUUCUUAUCAGUUUGCUUAUAUGACUCCACUCUCGACUCUUAAGAACCAACUAAAGAUUUCUCUUCACUCACUUUGUUCUCUACCGAUCUACCCUUAUGAAAACCCCAUUUUAAAAUAGGAAAAGGAGCCUUUAGGCCCAAUGAUUGUUGACACCCAAUUUUGAUCUCCCGAUACUACAUUUAGACUGCUAUUUUAGCAAAAUUAUUAAUUUUUAAAUGUUAGUAUUUUUUACACAUUUUUCUUACAUCAAACAAAUUUUUGACGUGUCACAUUCAUGUUUUAAAAUGUACAAAUUAUUUUAUUAAUUUUUAAUGUCAUUUUUUUUACAAUUUAUUAAUUCAGAUACAACAUUUUACAUAAUUUUAUUAAUAUUUAUUAAAUUAUUUUUUCACAAAAUAUNNNNNNNNNNNNNNNNNNNNNNNNNNNNNNNNNNNNNNNNNNNNNNNNNNNNNNNNNNNNNNNNNNNNNNNNNNNNNNNNNNNNNNNNNNNNNNNNNNNNNNNNNNNNNNNNNNNNNNNNNNNNNNNNNNNNNNNNNNNNNNNNNNNNNNNNNNUCAACAUCCUAUUAUCUUUUUCGUUAUUAUUACAUCUGUUAAAUUGUAGCCUAAUUCAAUUCAAUUUCCUAGUUCAUUUAAAUGCUAGCCUUUUUCUAUUCGAUUUAUGACAAUUGUAGCCUAAUUUUACCCAAUUUAUUACAAUUUUAGUUACAUUUAUCUCCGUUUCAAUUCAUUUUCUAUUUUUAUAAUCCUUUUAAUCUCAGCCAUGGAUCAAUUUUGAUCCAACGACUGAGAUCAUAUCACUCACUCUUUCAAUCGUAAAAAACACUCAAACCCUAAUUCCUUAUUACAUAAAAACAUUUGCCUCUCUUGGUGCGCUCUCUCUCUCUACCUUUUCUCUCUCUCUACCUUCUCUCUAGCCUUACUUAUCUGUAUACCAUAACCAUGGCUGCCACCAGCCAUCCACCAUGAUUUGGAGAAAAAUUCGGGCUCCUCCCUCCCACUCUCUUUCGUCUCUCACUCUCAUUGCUGCCUCACCGAAAUUGAUGACUGACGAGUUUGAGGCAGCAUCAAUAGCGUCAACCGCCACUAAUGGCUGGCAAACAAACCAGCCACCGCGUCACCCUCCCCUCUCCAUCAUCAGCCACUAGAAAAACCAAGGGAAAAUAGCUCCAACCACCAAUCCCGCCACCGAACAACCAAAAUGCCUCCCAAUCGGCGCCACCAGCCGCAUCUGUUGGAAAGCAAACCGGCUAAGCUCCCCUCGAGCGAACAUCAAUAUCAGCCUGCUGCCACUCCAGACGAUGGAACUAGACCCAAUCGACACUGCCAACAACAGUAGUAGUAUCCCGCCGCCUGUCCUCUGCCGCUCUGUCAUUGCCGUGACUGCCUCCAGCAAUCGUGAACUAGCAACACAUCCCCAGCCGUGAUUUAGCCUCCCCCUCUUCUCACUGGUCACGUUCUCAUCAAAAUUGAGGACCGGUGAGGUCCCUUUUGGUGAACCCGACUUUAUACGAUUUGAUUCCUCAAUUGUGAACCCUUUUGCAUGUUCUUUUUCUUCUUUGGGUGCAAAUUUUCUAAAUUAAACUGUUAGAUCUAAAGUUUGUGAUAUCUGACUUUGAAUGUUGAUUCAAUCUAUUUAAUUACGUGUUUAUCUCUGCUUGUUCUCAAAAGAUGUUAUACUUGUAUUACGUUUGAUUUAAUUGAUAUUGAUUGAAAUUUGAAUCUGCUUUUAUGGUUAAAUAUUGAUUAUGAUUAUUCCUAAAUGAAAGUACUAAAUUGAUUUAGUAGAUUGGUGGAAUGGAUUUAGUUUGAUUUUUGUGAUUAGUUGCCUUAUGAUUUGUAAAUCAAUUUUUAAUAUAUACGCUAAAUACUAGUGUUGAUACAUGUUGCUAUUAUUAUUAUCUCUUCUCUUUUAAAUUCACACCUUAUUUUCCUCAUCUAUUUAUAGUAAAACAUUAAAUAAUUGAUUGAGUCCAUUUUUAGUUUUCUUUUUGCAAAUUAAAUGUAUAUUAACUAUUGUUUGCCUUGAUAAUGUGAUUUUUUAUGGUAAAUACGACAUUAAUGGGAUUGAGAUUUCUCCUAAUUGAUUCUUGAUAUAUUUUUCCUUUAAUUUUCGAAAGUGAUUUUUUUUAUAAUAUACUUUUUCCUUUUGUGGUACUGUAUUCCUACUACUGUAUAAACCGCCCUUCUUUUCAUUGGAGGGAAAGUUCUUGAAUGACAAUUACUACUCUCUAAAAUAAACAAAAACAAAAAGAACUACUGGCUAUUUUAAUACAAGGAAAUUAUAUAUUUUGAUGGUUCUUCAAUUUUCCUUCAAGGCUUACUGAAAACAUCUUCCAUAUUUCACUGUUACAAGUACUUGACCUUUAUUAUUCUUAUUAUCUCUUUUACUAUUGUUCACUGGUAAGUUCUUGAAAUGAUGUAAUUUUCAUUCUCUCUGUGUGUUGACUGCAUCACGUUGUGAAAGCCUUUACAAAACAUGUCUAUAGGAAUAUUUCGAUGUUUGUUAUUAUAUGUUCCUAUUUGCUUGCCAUUAUAUCUUGUUUCGCGGGUUUAUAUAGACAAUUACGGGGUUCUGAUAAGUUUCCGGGAUAUUUAUAAUAGAUUGUAUUAGUUCUACUUAGUUUUUUUUUUCUUAUUAAAGUACUACUGAAUAACUGAAACUUCUCUAACUUGUAUUAGCCAGAAGUGUGUUGUACCGUUGUUGUGUGCUUUUAUGUUUUUUUUUUUGUUAUACUGUUAUCUAUCCUGAGUCAGGGUUUAUCGAAAACAAUCUCUCUACUUCAUUCGAGGUAGUGGUGUGCACUGCGUACACAUUAUCCUCCUCAUACCCCACUAUGUGGGGAUACACUGGCUAUGUUGUUGUAUAAUUCGUUUAAGGUAGUGGUAUGGACUACGUAUAAUUACCCUCUCCAAACCUCACUUUGUGGGAAUGCACCGGGUAUGUUAUUGUUGUUGCUAUAGAAGUUUGAUGUGUUUACUGGAUAGUAUUUAUCUAGUUUCAGGGUAGCCUCGCUUUUCAUAAUUACAUGUUUAAUGGAUUCUAGUUGUGGCUUGGAGAAGAAGUAGCAUAUAGAGUCAUUUUAACUAUCAAACCUGAAAGAAUCAUCAUCAAUCUUAAUUUUCUUCUCUUUUCCACAGGUGUAAAAGUGAGUUGAAUGAAGACUAAUUGCAAGCUCAACAUGUUAUUGGUACUUUCGAAGAAGCCUCUACAUAUCUGCUUUAGUUUAGGAUAGGAGUAAUAUUUAGUACUAUAUUUCAGUUAGUUUCCUUUGUGUUGGACUAGUUUUACUUUUCUUGGAACUGUGAGGAGAUAUUACCUUAGUACAAUUUUAGUUUUUUUAAUUGUAUGAUUGUGGGUGAAUUUUAUCAAUCUGAC
rnacentral:lncRNA from 1 species